GACGAACGCUGGCGGCGUGCUUAACACAUGCAAGUCGAACGAUGAAGCCGGAGCUUGCUCUGGUGAAUUAGUGGCGAACGGGUGAGUAACACGUGAGUAACCUGCCCUUGACUCUGGGAUAACUGCGGGAAACUGUAGCUAAUACCGGAUACGACCCUCGGAGGCAUCUCCUGGGGGUGGAAAGAAUUUCGGUCAAGGAUGGACUCGCGGCCUAUCAGCUAGUUGGUGAGGUAAAGGCUCACCAAGGCGACGACGGGUAGCCGGCCUGCGGGGGUGACCGGCCACACUGGGACGGAGACGCGGCCCAGAGACCGCCGGGAGGCAGCAGGGGGGAUGAUUGCGCAAUGGGCGCAAGCCGGAUGAGGGAACGCCGCGAGAGGGAUGACGGCCCUCGGGUCGUAAUCCUCUUUUAGCAGGGAAGAAGCGAAAGGGACGGUACCUGCAGAAAAAGCACCGGCUAACUACGUGCCAGCAGCCGCCAUAA
rnacentral:rRNA from 1 species